GUCGCAAGCUUACCCUGUGAAGGUUCCACAGUAAGCAAAAUGGGCACAGCCCAAAACGUCAGGUCGAGGUGUAGCUUACGAGGUGGAAAGAAAUGGGCUACAUUUUCUUAAACAGAAUACUACGGACAACACUAUGAAACUGGUGUUUAAAGGUGGAUUUAGUAGUAAAAAACAAGUAGAGUGUGUUUUUGAACUAGGCUCUGAGACGCGCACACACCGCCCGUCACUCUCCCCAUCACCUAUCUCUCUAAGUAAAUAACCACAGUAAUCUCCCGUCGGGGAGGCAAGUCGUAACAUGG
rnacentral:rRNA from 1 species